rnacentral:lncRNA from 1 species
UUCAUCACAAAUCAAAAUUCAAAUCUAAUUCAUAUUAAAAAAAUAAACAGACAACCAACACAAGAUAAACAAAUAUAUAAACCACUUCCAAUCACAAAAACAUAAUCUUUCCCCAAAAACACAUAUCGUCUCUGUUCUCUCUCUCUCUUCGUUUAUGAUGUCUUGUAGUACUAAGAAAUCUUCACUUCCGUGCCAGAAUUCAUACAAUUUCCUCUAUCUCAAUCCCCACACCGACCUCAAACACAACCUAAGUUACAAUGAAUGCUGCCGUGGCACCACCCAAAGUGUUGCCCUCGGAGUUCACAUGAGCCGGAUUUCUGACAACAAAGAGAAUGAAGUACCUAAUAAGGCCAAAAAUUUAGUCCAUGCUGAUAAAGAAAAUACAGAACCCAAUAAUGGGUCUUUAGCUGUGGCCAAACUGGUCCCUAAUGAGAAGUCGGAAUUGUUGACGAAAUCCAAAUCUACUUCAUCUUCUUUACCACAAUCUAGAUCCGUCUAUUGAUGAGUGUGAUUGCUUGAACACCAUUGAUGAACCCGAUUGCUUGAACACCAUUGAUGAACCCAAUUGCUUUGAAGAGUGGAUUUUAGAAGAAUGAUUUGAAGAGGGAGAGGCUUUUUUUAAUUAGGUCUAUUCAGAUCUAGAUCUAAACAAAUCCAGAUCUGAACUUUUAAUUUCCACCGAUUUCUCCACUGAUUGUUUUUCUCCUCUAUUUUGAUCUUCUGUUUUGAAGAAAUGGAUUCUGGGCUCUCCUGUACGUAAUGAUUCUCUAUUUUGAAUAACACGAUCUUCUGUAAUUGCUUAACUAUAUAAAUA